AGUGAACGCUGGCGGUAGGCCUAACACAUGCAAGUCGAACGGCAGCACAGUAAGAGCUUGCUCUUACGGGUGGCGAGUGGCGGACGGGUGAGGAAUACAUCGGAAUCUACUUUUUCGUGGGGGAUAACGUAGGGAAACUUACGCUAAUACCGCAUACGACCUAUGGGUGAAAGCAGGGGAUCUUCGGACCUUGCCCGAUUGAAUGAGCCGAUGUCGGAUUAGCUAGUUGGCGGGGUAAAGGCCCACCAAGGCGACGAUCCGUAGCUGGUCUGAGAGGAUGAUCAGCCACACUGGAACUGAGACACGGUCCAGACUCCUACGGGAGGCAGCAGUGGGGAAUAUUGGACAAUGGGCGCAAGCCUGAUCCAGCCAUACCGCGUGGGUGAAGAAGGCCUUCGGGUUGUAAAGCCCUUUUGUUGGGAAAGAAAAGCAGCAGGUUAAUACCCCGCUGUUCUGACGGUACCCAAAGAAUAAGCACCGGCUAACUUCGUG
rnacentral:rRNA from 1 species